rnacentral:rRNA from 1 species
GAUGAACGCUGGCGGCGUGCCUAAUACAUGCAAGUCGAGCGAACAGACGAGGAGCUUGCGCCGCUGACGUUAGCGGCGGACGGGUGAGUAACACGUGUAUAACCUACCUAUAAGACUGGGAUAACUUCGGGAAACCGGAGCUAAUACCGGAGAAUAUAUUGAACCGCAUGGUGCAAUAGUGAAAGACGGCGUUGGUGUCACGUAUAGAUGGAUCCGCGCCGGAUUAGCUAGUUGGUAGGGUAAAGGCUUACCAAGGCAAGGAGGCGUAACCGACGUGACGGGGUGAUCGGCCACCUUGGAACUGAGACGCGGUCCAGACUCCUACGGGAGGCAGCAGUAGGGAAUCUUCCGCAGUGGGCGAAAGCCUGACGGAGCAGCGCCGCGUGAGUGAUGAAGGUCUUCGGAUCGUAAAACUCUGUUAUGAGGGAAGAACAAAUGUGUAAGUAACUAUGCACUUCUUGACGGUACCUAGUCAGAAAGCCACGGCUAACUACGUG